rnacentral:rRNA from 1 species
GACGAACGCUGGCGGCGUGCUUAACACAUGCAAGUCGAACGGAAAGGCCCUGCUUUUGUGGGGUGCUCGAGUGGCGAACGGGUGAGUAACACGUGAGUAACCUGCCCUUGACUUUGGGAUAACUUCAGGAAACUGGGGCUAAUACCGGAUAUGAGCUCCUGCUGCAUGGUGGGGGUUGGAAAGUUUCGGCGGGUGGGGAUGGACUCGCGGCUUAUCAGCUUGUUGGUGGGGUAGUGGCUUACCAAGGCUUUGACGGGUAGCCGGCCUGAGAGGGUGACCGGCCACAUUGGGACUGAGAUACGGCCCAGACUCCUACGGGAGGCAGCAGUGGGGAAUAUUGCACAAUGGGCGGAAGCCUGAUGCAGCAACGCCGCGUGCGGGAUGACGGCCUUCGGGUUGUAAACCGCUUGCGCCUGUGACGAAGCGUGAGUGACGGUAAUGGGUAAAGAAGCACCGGCUAACUACGUG